AUAGCCGGCCCAACGGCCGGGUAAUACCGCAUACGCUUCCUUGGGGGCAUACCUGGGGAAGGAAACCUACGGGGCGAUUGGAGGGGCUCGCGGCCUAUCAGCUAGUUGGCGAGGUAACGGCUCACCAAGGCGAUGACGGGUAGCUGGUCUGAGAGGAUGGCCAGCCACAUUGGGACUGAGAGACGGCCCAGACUCCUACGGGAGGCAGCAGUGGGGAAUCUUGCGCAAUGGCCGAAAGGCUGACGCAGCGACGCCGCGUGGAGGAUGACGCCCUUCGGGGUGUAAACUCCUGUUGCCCGGGACGAAUGCCCCUUUUGAGGGGAGUGACGGUACCGGGUGAGGAAGCACCGGCUAACUCUGUG
rnacentral:rRNA from 1 species